CAGUCGCCGCGGUAAUACGUAGGUGGCAAGCGUUGUCCGGAAUUAUUGGGCGUAAAGGGCUCGCAGGCGGUUUCUUAAGUCUGAUGUGAAAGCCCCCGGCUCAACCGGGGAGGGUCAUUGGAAACUGGGAAACUUGAGUGCAGAAGAGGAGAGUGGAAUUCCACGUGUAGCGGUGAAAUGCGUGGAGAUGUGGAGGAACACCAGUGGCGAAGGCGACUCUCUGGUCUGUAACUGACGCUGAGGAGCGAAAGCGUGGGGAGCGAACAGGAUUAGAUACCCCAGUAGUCCCUGUCUCUUAUAC
rnacentral:rRNA from 1 species